rnacentral:tRNA from 1 species
GGGCCUAUGGUGAAGUGGCUAUCACGCGACUAUGGCAUAGUCGAGUUCGGGGUUCGACUCCCCGUAGGUCCA